AACAUCGCGCACCUGCGGGAACCUGCGGAAGGAUCAUUACCGAGUGUGGUCCCUUAUAAGGGGCGCCUCCCGUCCUUUGCAGGGCCUUUAGGGGCUUUUUGACUUUGCUUCGGCGGGCUUGCCCCGCCGGAACACCCUCAAGAAAAUCUUUAUGAACCGUUUGUCUGAGUUGCUUGCGAAUAAAAACAAAACUUUCAACAACGGAUCU
rnacentral:misc_RNA from 1 species